UACAGAGGGGGCAAGCGUUGUUCGGAAUUACUGGGCGUAAAGGGCGCGUAGGCGGCCUUCUAAGUCAGACGUGAAAUCCCUCGGCUCAACCGGGGAACUGCGUCUGAGACUGAAAGGCUUGAAUCCGGGAGAGGGAUGUGGAAUUCCAGGUGUAGCGGUGAAAUGCAUAGAUACAAUCAAGAACACCGAUUGCGUAGGCAGCUAACUAGGCUGUAACUGACGCUGAGGCACGAAAGCGUGGGGAGCGAACAGG
rnacentral:rRNA from 1 species